UUUGCUGAUAACAUGUUAAGAUCGAGUAAAUUCUCUUUACACUUUACAGUUCACUCGUUAUAUCAUGCAGUGCUCUCUUUGUGGUAAUGUGUUAUCUUUGUGCUUCAUUAGAACUGCAUGGUGUAGAUCCUACCAUGUCUAACUAUACUAGCUUUGUACGUGAUUCUGAUAUAUGUAGAUUUAGAACACACUGUUUUCCAGUUACAUUGGUUCUGUUUUCGGUGUUUUUUCCAGAGGCAUAGUUCAUGACGCUCAUUCUUUCUGGAAAUAAACGUUAUGCCAGGGGAGAGGUAAGUGUGAAUAGGGUAAUGUGUGUGCGUCUAGAAGAAUAUAGAAUUGUAUAUGCUGUGUUCAUCCAGAAAAUAUGUC
rnacentral:lncRNA from 1 species